ensembl:miRNA
UAGCCCAGGGCUUGGAGUGGGGCAAGGUUGUUGGUGAUAUGGCUUCCUCUCCCUUCCUGCCCUGGCUAG